UACGUAGGUGGCGAGCGUUGUCCGGAUUUACUGGGCGUAAAGCGCGCGCAGGCGGUCCGGUAAGUCUCCGGUGAAAUCGCCCGGCUCAACUGGGCGGGUGCCGGGGAGACUGGCGGACUUGAGGAGCCUAGAGGCCGGUGGAACUCCCGGUGUAGUGGUGAAAUGCGUAGAGAUCGGGAAGGAAACCAGUGGCGAAGGCGGCCGGCUGGGGGUGCCCUGACGCUGAGGCGCGAGAGCGUGGGGAGCAAACCGG
rnacentral:rRNA from 1 species